rnacentral:rRNA from 1 species
AUGGAUUGGAACCCCCAUCUGUUGUGUUGGAACGUGAGGGGUCUCAACAAUCCCGCCAAAAGGAACGCUGUCCGAGAGUUCGUUCUCGAAGCUAGGGUUAAUCUUGUAUGUCUCCAAGAGACAAAAAUUGAUGUUUUUGACCAAUAUUUGGUUAUGCAAUGCAUAGGACCAUCUUUUGAUGGGUUCGCCUACUUGCCUGCGUUGGACACUAGGGGUGGCAUUCUCUUGGGGUGGAGCAGCGCAUAUUUCGCUAUCAGUAAUAUCACUUGUGACACAAAUUUCAUCUCUGGUUUGGUUCAUAGCAAGGAUGGCUCGGAGUGGUGCUUGUCGGUGGUGUACAGCCCCCCAAGGGGACGAACUUAA